rnacentral:rRNA from 1 species
UACGUAGGGUGCAGGCGUUAAUCGGAAUUACUGGGCGUAAAGCGUGCGCAGGCGGUCUUUUAAGUCAGAUGUGAAAUCCCCGGGCUUAACCUGGGAACUGCGUUUGAAACUGAAAGGCUAGAGUGUGGCAGAGGGGGGUGGAAUUCCACGUGUAGCAGUGAAAUGCGUAGAGAUGUGGAGGAACGCCGAUGGCGAAGGCAAUCCCCUGGGCCUGCACUGACGCUCAUGCACGAAAGCGUGGGGAGCAAACAGG